UGGGGAAUAUUGCGCAAUGGGGGCAACCCUGACGCAGCCAUGCCGCGUGUGUGAAGAAGGCCUUCGGGUUGUAAAGCACUUUAAGUGGGGAAGAAAAGCUGUUGCCUAAUAAGCCACAGCCCUGACAUUACCCACAGAAUAAGCACCGGCUAACUCCGUGCCAGCAGCCGCGGUAAUACGGAGGGUGCGAGCGUUAAUCGGAAUUACUGGGCGUAAAGCGCGCGUAGGCGGUUUGUUAAGUCAGCUGUGAAAGCCCCGGGCUCAACCUGGGAACUGCAGUUGAUACUGGCCGACUGGAGUGCGAGAGAGGGAGGUAGAAUUCCAUGUGUAGCGGUGAAAUGCGUAGAUAUAUGGAGGAAUACCGGUGGCGAAGGCGGCCUCCUGGCUCGACACUGACGCUGAGGUGCGAAAGCGUGGGGAUCAAACAGG
rnacentral:rRNA from 1 species